rnacentral:lncRNA from 1 species
GGUGAAGGUCCUGGGCCGUGACAUGCCCGGGGAGCCUCGGCAGGGCAGCUCCUGGCAGAGGGUGUCCUUGGUCACAGCAGCUUCUGUGACCAAAUACUCUGGAGCAGCCCAAGAGCUGGGUGGGAGAGUGAACCCUGAGUAAAGGACCUGGGAGAGAAGAAGCAUGGCAGGCAUUGGAACAGUUGCUGCUGCGGUUGGUGUGAAGCUGCUUGAGAAACUCAUAGACGAGAUCUGCGUGCGAACAAAAAAAGAACGGGAGGCAGAGGCCACAAAGCCUCAGGAAUCUUGGAUGAAGGAGGACUUCCAGGAGCUCAUCCAACAAAUGAAAGCUAUGCGUGAAGAUCUCCAGAAAGGGCAGGAAUCCACAAAGCAGGAUAUUCAGCUGCUCAUAGAAGGCCUGAAGAAGGAACUAGGAAAGACAGAGGAGGAAAAUCCCCCAAAGUCUCAGGGAUCUGGGAUGGAGGAGACCCUUGUGCAGCUCUGCAAAGAAAUGAAAGCUAUGCGUGAAGAUCUCCAGAAAGGGCAGGAAUCCACAAAUUGCCUUCUUCAGCUGCUCGUAGAAGACCUGAACAAGGAACAAGGUGAGCAGGGCCAUUCCCAAGCACUUCCAUCUCUCUGAACACCAAAACUGCUCUACAGGCAAACCACACUGAGAGCUUGUCCUGCACAGCUCCUCAAAGGGGCUGGAGAAGGACGGCCCUGACAUGGGGCACAGCUUUUGUGCUGCCUGACCCUGAAACAGCUCCCUGCUGAAGUGUUCUCUGCAGGUGGUCAUGGCCACACUUGUCUCCCUCAUCUCUGCAGAGAGUGUGUGCUGUGAGUUCUCUGAUCCCCUGAUCCUUGUUAAGGUUCCCCCCUUGCAGUCCUGUCAGCAUCUCUCUCCCUUUCCCCACUCCCCUUCUCCCACUCCCCACUCCUGGGGCCGUCUUGGGGCACAUGUGAUCCCAACCUUGUCUUCCUGUUGAAGAUCCACAAGGAGACCCAGCUCCAUGAGCACUGCAGGUGUCUCUGAG